rnacentral:rRNA from 1 species
GACGAACGCUGGCGGCGUGCCUAAUACAUGCAAGUUGAGCGAUGAAGAUUGGUGCUUGCACCAAUUUGAAGAGCAGCGAACGGGUGAGUAACGCGUGGGGAAUCUGCCUUUGAGCGGGGGACAACAUUUGGAAACGAAUGCUAAUACCGCAUAACAACUUUAAACAUAAGUUUUAAGUUUGAAAGAUGCAAUUGCAUCACUCAAAGAUGAUCCCGCGUUGUAUUAGCUAGUUGGUGAGGUAAAGGCUCACCAAGGCGAUGAUACAUAGCCGACCUGAGAGGGUGAUCGGCCACAUUGGGACUGGGACACGGCCCAAACUCCUACGGGAGGCAGCAGUAGGGAAUCUUCGGCAAUGGCCGAAAGUCUGACCGAGCAACGCCGCGUGAGUGAAGAAGGUUUUCGGAUCGUAAAACUCUGUUGGUAGAGAAGAACGUUGGUGAGAGUGGAAAGCUCAUCAAGUGACGGUAACUACCCAGAAAGGGACGGCUAACUACGUG